AGAGUUUGAUCCUGGCUCAGGACGAACGCUGGCGGCGUGCUUAACACAUGCAAGUCGAGCGGUAAGGCCCUUCGGGGUACACGAGCGGCGAACGGGUGAGUAACACGUGGGUGAUCUGCCCUGCACUUCGGGAUAAGCCUGGGAAACUGGGUCUAAUACCGGAUACGACCUCGGGCUGCAUGGCCUGGGGUGGAAAGGUUUACUGGUGCAGGAUGGGCCCGCGGCCUAUCAGCUUGUUGGUGGGGUAAUGGCCUACCAAGGCGACGACGGGUAGCCGACCUGAGAGGGUGACCGGCCACACUGGGACUGAGACACGGCCCAGACUCCUACGGGAGGCAGCAGUGGGGAAUAUUGCACAAUGGGCGAAAGCCUGAUGCAGCGACGCCGCGUGAGGGAUGACGGCCUUCGGGUUGUAAACCUCUUUCAGCAGGGACGAAGCGCAAGUGACGGUACCUGCAGAAGAAGCACCGGCCAACUACGUGCCAGCAGCCGCGGUA
rnacentral:rRNA from 1 species